rfam:Aminobacterium colombiense DSM 12261, complete genome.
GAUUCAGCCCUGUGCGGCGAAACACCGUGAACCCUGUCAGGCCCGGGAGGGAGCAGCAGUAAGCGGAGCGUUUUGGGUGCCACAGGAAGCUGGAUCUCC